CCUACGGGUGGCAGCAGUGGGGAAUAUUGGACAAUGGGGGCAACCCUGAUCCAGCCAUGCCGCGUGUGUGAAGAAGGCCCUCGGGUUGUAAAGCACUUUCAGUGAGGAAGAACGCGUGGUGGUUAAUACCCAUCAGGAAAGACAUCACUCACAGAAGAAGCACCGGCUAACUCCGUGCCAGCAGCCGCGGUAAUACGGAGGGUGCGAGCGUUAAUCGGAAUUACUGGGCGUAAAGCGCGCGUAGGUGGCUUGAUAAGCCGGUUGUGAAAGCCCCGGGCUCAACCUGGGAACGGCAUCCGGAACUGUCAAGCUAGAGUGCAGGAGAGGAAGGUGGAAGUCCCGGUGUAGCGGUGAAAUGCGUAGAGAUCGGGAGGAAUACCAGUGGCGAAGGCGGCCUUCUGGACUGACACUGACACUGAGGUGCGAAAGCGUGGGUAGCAAACAGGAUUAGAUACCCGAGUAGUC
rnacentral:rRNA from 1 species